GCUGUGUGUUGGUAAAACAACAACAAACAUGUCAAAUGUCUAAAAAGACCUGAGAGCAGUCAAGGAGUUUGGAAGCACCCAGAUCAACUUCCAUAUGGACAGGUGAGAAACACAGAUGUGAGAAGGUAAAUAUCUGACUUAAAACCUCCAUAGAACUAUAUGUUUAUGAUGAGCCACAUCCCUGAAAAGAGACUAUCAGUCUUGGGAGAGUCUAUGAUUCAGAGAAGUUCUCCUGUUCAUAAAGUUUAUGUGAUGGGAGUGUGUUUGAUGAGAGAGAGAGACCAUCAUUAUUGCUAGAAGACCCGCAAGUUGAGCCCAUAUGAACUAAUUAAA
rnacentral:lncRNA from 1 species